GAUUCGCUAGUAAUCGCGCAUCAGCCAUGGCGCGGUGAAUACGUUCCCGGGCCUUGUACACACCGCCCGUCAAGCCAUGGAAGCCCGGGGGGUGCCUGAAGUGUGCAGCCGCAAGGAGCGCCCUAAGGUAAAACCGGUGACUGGGGCUAAGUCGUAACAAGGUAGC
rnacentral:rRNA from 1 species